CAGGGACGCUCAAGGCGGCCUUAGCGGAGUUCAUCUGUACCCUGAUCUUCGUGUUCGCAGGUCAGGGUUCUGGCAUGGCUUUCAACAAGCUAUCAGUUGACGGUACCGCUACUCCCUCCGGCCUAAUCUCUGCCUCUAUAGCGCAUGCCUUCGGGCUUUUCGUGGCUGUCUCCGUCGGUGCUAACAUCUCCGGCGGCCACGUUAAUCCCGCCGUUACCUUCGGUGCUUUCGUUGGUGGAAACAUCACUUUGUUUCGUGGGAUUCUCUACAUUAUUGCACAGUUGCUUGGAUCCACUGUUGCUUGCUUCCUCCUUGAAUUUGCCACUGGUGGCAUGGUAAGCAUAUAUUUCUCCGGUCCACUUUAAUGAUUUGUUAGUCUUUUUUGUGUGGUGCAUAAUAUUUAAUUUUUUCAAAUAUCAAAGAAAGAAUUAAAGUUUUUUAUUCAAAGUUACCCUUUGAGUAAAACGAAAAAUCACUGGAUCGGAGGGAGGGAGUAUAACAAACUUAAUUUGUUGACUAAUUAGCCUGUAUUUAAUUUUAUCACGCUAUAGCCUUUAUGACAUGAUGUUAACAGUUCUAACUUCCUAUUCUAUCGCUUUAGUAGUAGGCGUCUUAAUCUUUGACUUUUUUACAUUUAGCUUUUUUCUUAUAAAAAAAGAAAAAAGGGAGGAAAAAAAAUAUAAGUUAACUCGUAGUCUUAUACCUAACUUUUACAAUUUUGAGCUAUAAAGGCAGAUUAUAGUCAUUUACCUUUUGAAGUAUCUGGGAUGCAAUAAAUAAUUAUUUAUUCAAUUUCUUCUCUUGAGUGGAUAAUGAAUAUAUGGUGGGUGUAUGAGAGAGAAAUCACGAGCUUUUGCAACUCUUCUGGAAGUUCACGUACAGUUUUUCCUUUCUGAUAAGUAGUAAAAGGAAAAUGGUAUAGACUUUUUUGUUUUCAGCCAUGUGAGGAAAUGUUAUGCCCUUUUUGAAAAUUAUCCUGAAUUACUAUAUGGAGUACUUCAUUUUUACCAUGAAAUAUAUGAGGACAUGGAAAUUUUUGCCUAGUUUCUAAACCAAAAAUUACAAAAUAUAUACUAGCUAGGUAUGUGGUCUGCUGACUCUAUAAUAGACAGUAUUAGGAGAUUUUUUCUUGAUUUUUAGGAAAUUUCCAUUACCACGAGGUUCAUUAGCCAUUAAAUAUCAAAUCUUAUGUCACUCCCUUGUUAAUUUGACCCAUGAAAGCGAAGAUGGCGAGUGAAAGUUGAAUGAAUGCUCUAAGGUCAUUUAUGAUAAUUUUUAUACCAUAGAAAUUAUCGUUUAUUAUUAUUAUUGAUAAAAGUUGAACUAUUGGCUGGUGUCAAUAUAUGUCAUUAUCGUUGAGAUGGUUCAUAUAAUUGUUUGUUGUGCGAGGGUGACAUCUCUGAUUAGAGUGUAAAAAAUGCUUAUUUAGGACAAUAAUAGUGCCAUCAAGGGUUUUUACAUAUUUUAUAAAACAUAAAUUUGGAACUCACGGAUUAGCUAGAAAUCUUUUUAUAUCUCGUUUGAGAGCGACAUAUUUUGUCUUCCCAUUAUGUAAGAUAGUGAUAUGAUGGUAAUUAUAUCUAAAGCAAUAUAAUACACAUUUAUUCAAUAUUUAUGAGAGCCAAUUUAGUACCUAACAAUAUUCAUCCGUUAGGUGGCAUUAUUACUUUCUUCUACUUAUAGUGAAAGAAUAUUCCAAUCAUAUUCCUUUAUUACACUGUCAGAGUAAAAAAGAUUUGCAUUAUUUUAACAUGUUAUAUCAAAUGUUCCAUGUUUAUAGAUUAUAACUUGUUCAUAUAGGUACCUUAAUCUGAUGGCAUAAAUAUUCUGUAUACAAAACUUAAAAUCCUUUUUAAUUUUCAUUAAUUCU
rnacentral:lncRNA from 1 species